AGCGGUCCUACCGUGGGACGACGAUGGUGACCACGCUGUCGCCGUGCUGGUACUGCUCGGGGCUGAUCCGGCAGUUCGGCAUCAGCCGACUGGUC
rnacentral:tRNA from 1 species